GUUAAGAAUGUGUUUGUGUGAAAAUACCUCAGGAAAACAAAGGUUGCUUCACAAAAUUCAGAAUGUUAAUUUAUCCCAGUGGGCUACUGCUAUUGGAAAGUUAUCAGCCAUAUCAUCAGAACCAAAGGUUUUAAAAGAAGUAAUUUUAUAUCAAGAACUUAUGAGUGUUACCUUAUCCUUCCCUUUAAUCUUGUUUUCAUCUUAAAAGUAGAGUUUUCCAAAACCUACUGUCUUCUGGGCAUAAAUCAGAAUUUUCCUGAGCCUUCCUUCCUGAUGUGCACCUAGAAUUCAGAUCCUCAUGAAUCAGCAGCCACCUCAUAAUGUGAAUGCUCAAGAACAGAAUGAGGAACAAUGUUCUCCCAGGUCUGGUCUGAAUUUGGGAGGGCUGACUUGCCUAAUUUUAGAGGUGUUGUGCCCAAGAGGAAUGGAGGCCGGGUUUCCUUGCUUCUUUACCAAUCUACUUAUCGGUUUCCUGUUCAACUCCCUUCCUUUGCUUAAUUUGACUUUAGAUAAAUGUCACACUCCAGUAAAGAGACUUUAAGAAUUACUCAGUAAUCAAACCAUGUGAAUUCAAUGGUCUACACGCUUGGAAUCUUAAGAAAUUGCUGAUGAUGACAUUGGCUGCCUCAGUUUUAGGAACUGCCAGAAAUAGCCACUAACCAAGAGAAAGAGAGCAAGGACUAGCCCUGAAUAAUUGGUCAACGAUGCUGAUUUCGUUGGUUUCCUGUUCCUUUUGCUUCCUGGAAAAUACAGACCUACAAAGCAAACAUUGUGUGUGGGUUGAUGCUACAGCAUCGUCUGAACUUGGAAGGAUGAUCAUGGAUUCUGAUGCCUCGUGGUCUCACUACAGAAUUCAACGCUAUCUUUAUUUGAAGUCUGUCCUGGUUAGCAAGCUGGCUGGUGGUGAUGUAUCACAUACCGUGGUUUCUGUGAUGUGGGCUGCUGACUAUGGAAAGAUGAAUGAAGAUCACAAUCACAUUAAGUUUGAGGACUAUGGUCAGACUUAAACCAUUAUCCUUGAGGUGUAUGGCUGUUGAUUUAUCAAUGUUCUCAUUUUUAUGAAGGAAAUCUUCUCAAGGUUGCUGUAUGCUCUGUGUGUGUUGUAUGUCAAAUAAGGUAUAAUGUUAUGUUCUCUCAUAACUUCAUAAAUAAGAAUGUAUUGCUUUGAGAGAUGGAAUAAAA
ensembl:lincRNA